rnacentral:sRNA from 1 species
AUGUACCACGCGUACACUGCGGUUCUGAGCGCGCCUUCCGCGCCCACCUGACGGCGGCGCGCGACGUGCUGUUGGCC